rnacentral:RNase_P_RNA from 2 species
AUCGCUCUCCGGGUGAUCGCGGCUGCGGCAGUAAUGUCAGUAGUCGAGGAAAGUCCGGACACCAGAGGGCAGUGCGCCUCGUGAAGAACGGGGGAUAUCAAGGCUCAAGCCUUGAUAGACGGAAAGUGCAGCAGAGAGUAGACCGCCGAUGGAUCUCCGGAUCACAGGUAAGGGUGAAAGGGUGGGGUAAGAGCCCACCGCCCAGAGGGUAACCGCUGGGGCACGGUAAACCCCGCAUGGUGCAAGACAUAACAGGGGAAGGGUCGCCCGCCCGAGUAGGAUCCCCGGGUAAUAGUCGCACGACUGCUCCGGCAGCGUCCUGUCUCGGCAGGAAGACAAAUGAUCACACAGUCCCGCUCGCGGGAUGGACAGAAUCCGGCUUACAGGAGAGCGAUGAGC